rnacentral:lncRNA from 1 species
AGCUCCUGCUAGGAAAAAAAAAAAGAGAACAAACAUUUUGUUGAGGAGCAGGAGAAAGUCAAAUACCCAAAGCUGUUUGUUACUUUUUCUGUUGAUCAUUAUGCAAGAUAAGGACACACGCUGUGGGACAAGUUUUGCCAAGAUAUGGGAUUGCAACAGUGUAAAGGAGCUGUGCAUUUAUCUGUGGGAAAGUAAAAGUUAUUUUGUUAUCUAUCUUGGAUUACUAAGUUUUUUACCAAGACUGUGUGCUCGUGGGUUUUGCUCAUUACCGUGAGAGUGGACAUCAUUCCUCUGGCCUCACUUUCUUUAGUGUAUAUGCACAGUCAUGUUCUAAACAGCCAUGUUUUGGCAUAGCCAAAAAUCUCUACCGAAAUGGGUGCCUGUCUGCUCACUCCUCUCUUCCCAUUCCCCACAGAGAAUAACUAAAGCUGCAGCUCUUAGUCCCCGCCUGUGGCACUCCAGAGAAGCGCUCAGAGAUGACAGGCAGGAAGAGAGACCGAGGGGAUCGGGGCGGGGACGCGGGGCUCUCCGCGGCUCUCCGGGACGACCCGAACAAGGGCUAGGCGACAGCAACCAGGGGCUCUCGCUCUCCUCCUCCCUCCCUCUCUCCUUUCCUUCCCUCACUCUCUUCCGUCCCGUCCCACCGCCCCCUGGGCGGGCCGCCCGCCGUGGCCCAUAUAGGGGCGGCUCGGGUUGCCGGCGGCACAGCGCAUCCUUCCACCCGCGGGCUCCUCUCGGAAAAGAGGCGGAUUCCCAAUUGCGCCGCUGGCAUGGCCUCAGUACCCUCCGCCGGCUGCCUCCUGGCCAAGAACCAGUACUACAGAAGGUUACCUGA